GACGAACGCUGGCGGCGUGCUUAAUACACGCAAGUCGAGCGAGGUUACUGUUUCGGAUCCCUUCGGGGUGAAGAAGCUUUAACCUAGCGGCGGACGGGUGAGUAACGCGUGGGUAACCUACCCCAAAGUCCGGGAUAACAGCGGGAAACCGCUGCUAAUACCGGAUGCCUUUACCUUGGGGCAUCUUGAGGUAAAGAAAGGCAACGCUUUGGGAUGGGCCCGCGUCCCAUUAGCUAGUUGGUGAGGUAACGGCUCACCAAGGCGACGAUGGGUAGCCGGCCUGAGAGGGUGGACGGCCACACUGGGACUGAGACACGGCCCAGACUCCUACGGGAGGCAGCAGUAGGGAAUAUUGCGCAAUGGACGGAAGUCUGACGCAGCGACGCCGCGUGAGCGAUGAAGGUCUUCGGAUCGUAAAGCUCUGUCCUUGGGGAAGAAGGCGAAAGCUUGACGGUACCCAAGAAGAAAGCCCCGGCUAACUACGUGCCAGCAGCCGCGGUAAUACGUAGGGGGCGAGCGUUGUCCGGAAUUACUGGGCGUAAAGGGUGCGUAGGCGGCCCUUUAAGUCGGAUGUGAAAGCCCGCGGCUUAACCGCGGAAUGGCAUUCGAAACUGGAGGGCUUGAGUGUCGGAGAGGGUAGUGGAAUUCCCAGUGUAGCGGUGAAAUGCGUAGAUUUUGGGAGGAACACCAGUGGCGAAGGCGACUACCUGGACGAUAACUGACGCUAAGGCACGAAAGCUAGGGGAGCAAACAGG
rnacentral:rRNA from 1 species